rnacentral:rRNA from 1 species
AGUGAACGCCGGCGGCAGGCCUAACACAUGCAAGUCGAACGGCAGCACAGAGGAGCUUGCUCCUUGGGUGGCGAGUGGCGGACGGGUGAGGAAUACAUCGGAAUCUGCCUAUUUGUGGGGGAUAACGUAGGGAAACUUACGCUAAUACCGCAUACGACCUACGGGUGAAAGCGGAGGACCUUCGGGCUUCGCGCAGAUAGAUGAGCCGAUGUCGGAUUAGCUAGUUGGCGGGGUAAAGGCCCACCAAGGCGACGAUCCGUAGCUGGUCUGAGGGGAUGAUCAGCCACACUGGAACUGAGACACGGUCCAGACUCCUACGGGAGGCAGCAGUGGGGAAUAUUGGACAAUGGGCGCAAGCCUGAUCCAGCCAUGCCGCGUGGGUGAAGAAGGCCUUCGGGUUGUAAAGCCCUUUUGUUGGGAAAGAAAAGCAGCCGGUUAAUACCCGGUUGUUCUGACGGUACCCAAAGAAUAAGCACCGGCUAACUUCGUGCCAGCCGCCGCGGUAACAC